rnacentral:tRNA from 1 species
GCCCGGCGGUGCUGCGGAUGAUGCGGUCGCGCCGGUUGGCGGCCGGCGCGCGGGUGCACAGCCGGCUCGCCGACCGGAUCGAGGCCGGCGUCGCGCG